UAGUCUCACCGCACUCAAGAAAUUGUAAUAGGAGGCGGUUCGACAGGAAGCUUUUGAAAUCGCAGGGCAUACACGGUAUAGUUCUUCUUCCCUCUCUCACCCAAAACCCGACCUUGUCUCUCUCAUCAUCGUCAACCCUCUCACGACCGGCGACGAAUUUCGGCGACAACCGACAACCGACAACUCAACUCGGAUGAGGUUGAAAAAGCAGAAGCGCCAUCGCAAGAGUGUCAGAUUUUACACAGCUUGCUUUGGCUUCCGAGAGCCCUUCAAGGUUCUAUGUGAUGGAACUUUUGUACAUCACCUUCUUGUCAAUCGUAUCACUCCAGCUGAUACCGCCCUCACAAAUAUACUGAGUGCUGAAGUCAAAAUCUUUACCACCAGAUGUGUUCUUGCAGAAUUAAAUAGCCUUGGUGACUCCUAUUCUGAAUCUCUUAAGGCAGCUAGGAAACUCAUGAUCGCAAGAUGUGACCAUGAGAGGAGGAAGAGUGCUGUGGCUUGCAUAAUGGAAGUUAUUGGAGAAAUCAACACUGAGCACUUUUUUGUUGCUACUCAGGAUGCUGAUUUACGGAAGAAGUUCCAGGAGGUACCAGGUGUUCCUGUGAUAUUUGGUCUACGAAAUGCCCUAUUUCUUGAGCCUCCAUCUGCUUUUCAACAGCGGUUUGUCAAAUGUGCUGAAGAAGAACGAUCACACAUGACUGAGUUGGAGUAUGAGAUGUUAAAAAUGAAGAAAAAAAAGAGGCUAGCCACCGCGGAUGCAGGGGAUUCCUUUGAUGCAAAUGAAGAUGUGGUGGAUCAGAGUUUAGGGACCCAGGUCGUCAAGGCUAAUACCGCGAGAAAGACAAUAGCUGUGAAGGACAAAGUUCAGUUUAAGAGAAAGAAAGCUAAGGGUCCGAACCCACUCUCAUGUAAGAAGAAGAAGAGUCAUGGAAACCCAAAUCCUUUUCCGGGAAAGGAAAGCGGGGAUAGUGAUGGAACUGUCAGAAGCAGGAGUAGGAAAAGGAAGAGACCACGCAAGGGCAAAAAGCUUGCAGAGGCAGCUGGUUAACAAUAUUCAGCAUAUAUGCAAAGCUUCAAAAUUUUGAUCCCGAGCUAAUAGGUAAACCUCCGGAUAUGUGUAACCGCCCGCCCACAAGCCACACUUAUCAGUUAAAUACGGAUUUGCUGCCUCAGACAGAGUUGAACACAAGACCUCUUAUGUAUGGAGCUCCUGUGUCCAGCUCCUGAACCAUUGGAGUUAGCCCGUGCGAGCUCCAUUCCAUUCCAGCAGAAUUGCCAAAGUAGAUCAAUUUUGCAGCAGUUUUGUCUAAAGUGGAGUAAUUAUGAGUGUUGGUAUUGGUCAUAUUUCGGAUUAAUAUAUAUCCAUAUGUCAUAUGAACAUGUGUGUUACACAGAGUUGAAGUAGGAGCAGGAGACCUGCAAAUCUAAAUUUUGCUUUUGAUGGGAGCUCCCCAGUGUGCACAUA